rnacentral:rRNA from 1 species
CCUACGGGUGGCUGCAGUGAGGAAUCUUGGUCAAUGGACGAGAGUCUGAACCAGCCAAGUAGCGUGAGGGAUGACGGCCCUAUGGGUUGUAAACCUCUUUUAUCUGGGAACAAAAUGUUCCACGAGUGGCAUUUUGUGUGUACCAUAUGAAUAAGGAUCGGCUAACUCCGUGCCAGCAGCCGCGGUAAUACGGAGGAACCGAGAGUUAUCCGGAUUUAUUGGGUUUAAAGGGAGGGGAGGUGGAUUGUUAAGUCAGUUGUUAAAGGUUGGGGCUCAACCGUAACAUUGCAGUUGAAACUGGCAGUCUUGAGUACAGUAGAGGUAGGCGGAAUUCGUGGUGUAGCGGUGAAAUGCUUAGAUAUCACGCAGAACUCCGAUGGCGAAGGCAGCUUACUGGACUGCAACUGACGCUGAGGCACGAAAGUGUGGGUAUCGAACAGGAUUAGAUACCCUAGUAGUC